AUUGAACGCUGGCGGCAGGCCUAACACAUGCAAGUCGAGCGGAUGAAGGGAGCUUGCUCCUGGAUUCAGCGGCGGACGGGUGAGUAAUGCCUAGGAAUCUGCCUGGUCGUGGGGGAUGACGUCCGGAUACGGGCGCUAAUCUCGCAUACGUCCUGUGGGAGCAAGUGGGGGAUCUUCGGUCCUCACGCUAUCAUAUGAGCCUAGGUCGGUUUAGCUAGUUGGUGGGGUAACGGCCUACCAAGGCGACGAGCCGAAACUGGUCUGAGAGGAUGACCCGUCACACUGGAACUGAGACACGGUCCAGACUCCGACGGGAGGCAGCAGUGGGGAAUAUUGGACGAUGGGCGAGAGCCUGAUCCAGCCAUGCCGCGUGUGUGAAGAAGGUCUUCGGAUUGGAAAGCGCUGUAAGUUGGGGGGAAGGACAGUAAGUUAAUACCGUGCUGUUUUGACGUUACCAACAGAAUAAGCACCGGCUAACUUCGUG
rnacentral:rRNA from 1 species